rnacentral:rRNA from 1 species
GUGCCAGCCGCCGCGGUAAUACCGGCAGCUCAAGUGAUGUCCCAUAUUAUUGGGCCUAAAGCGUCCGUAGCUGGCCGACCAAGUCUCCCGGGAAAUCCACCCGCUCAACGGGUGGGCGUCCGGUAGAAACUGGCCGGCUUGGAACCGGAAGGCUCAGAGAGUACGUCCGGGGUAGGAGUGAAAUCCCGUAAUCCCGGACGGACUACCGAUGGCGAAAGCACGUCGCGAGGACGGAUCCGACAGUGAGGGACGAAAGCUAGGGUCUCGAACCGGAUUAGAAACCCUGGUAGUCC